UCUGGACGCACCAUAACCUCGGGAAACUGAGGCUAAUAGUGCAUACCGCUCGACGCCUGGAACUGGCUCGAGCCAGAAACGCCCCGGCGCCAGAGGAUGUGGCUGCGGCCGAUUAGGUAGACGGUGGGGUAACGGCCCACCGUGCCAAUAAUCGGUACGGGUUGUGAGAGCAAGAGCCCGGAGACGGUAUCUGAGACAAGAUACCGGGCCCUACGGGGCGCAGCAGGCGCGAAACCUUUACACUGCACGCCAGUGCGAUAAGGGGACUCCAAGUGCGAGGGCAUAACGUCCUCGCUUUUCGUGACCGUAAGGUGGUCACAGAAUAAGGGCUGGGCAAGACCGGUGCCAGCCGCCGCGGUAAUACCGGCAGCCCAAGUGAUGGCCGCUCUUAUUGGGCCUAAAGCGUCCGUAGCUGGCCGCGCAAGUCCAUCGGGAAAUCCGCACGCCUAACGUGCGGGCGUCCGGUGGAAACUGCGUGGCUUGGGACCGGAAGAUCCAGAGGGUACGUCCGGGGUAGGAGUGAAAUCCUGUAAUCCUGGACGGACCACCGGUGGCGAAAGCGCUCUGGAAAGACGGAUCCGACGGUGAGGGACGAAAGCUCGGGUCACGAACCGGAUUAGAUACCCGGGUAGUCCGAGCUGUAAACGAUGUCUGCUAGGUGUGCCACAGGCUACGAGCCUGUGGUGUGCCGUAGGGAAGCCGUGAAGCAGACCGCCUGGGAAGUACGUCCGCAAGGAUGAAACUUAAAGGAAUUGGCGGGGGAGCACAAUCGA
rnacentral:rRNA from 1 species